UACGGAGGGUGCAAGCGUUGUCCGGAAUCACUGGGCGUAAAGGGCGCGUAGGCGGCUCGGUAAGUAGGGGGUGAAAUCCUGCGGCUUAACCGCAGGGCUGCCUUCUAAACUGUCGAGCUUGAGCACGGUAGAGGCAGAUGGAAUUCCCGGUGUAGCGGUGGAAUGCGUAGAGAUCGGGAAGAACAUCAGUGGCGAAGGCGGUCUGCUGGGCCGGUACUGACGCUGAGGAGCGAAAGCGUGGGGAGCGAACAGG
rnacentral:rRNA from 1 species